rnacentral:sRNA from 1 species
UUUCUUUCUCAUACAUUAUAACGUACUAGAUAAGGCCCGUCUAUUUAGGCGGGUAUAAGAUACAAAAAUAAAUUUUUAUCGAUAGUAUUUGAAUAUUAUAUAGCAAUCUAUAUAUUUUUUUGA